UUUUAGUACAAUCCGAGUGCAGAUGAUAUGAUUUGUGUAGCUCAGCAUGAUUGAACUAGUCAUGUGAUCGGCAGGCUCUGGUGCGAUCUCCUGUACAUCAUGUUAUGACCGUUUCAAAAUGUUUGGUGGAAUCUGCUCAUCUACGAGGCUAAUUGGGGAAUAUCCCAUCCGUGUGAAUAACACAUGUGCCCCAUGUGACCCGUCCUGAAAUGAAUGUAAAGGUCCGGGACCCUACAGCUGCACCUCGUGCCCUGUUCUACUGCACCUCACAGAGGAUGGGAGGUGUCUUCCUCGCUGUGGAGAAAACACACGCACGCAUUCCUCAAAAUUUGCCUCGGAAUGCUGCCAGUGCCACACACUGAAUGAUGAAUGCAUUGUCGCACAGAGCUACAACGUCUUCAACAACGAUCUAGUGACUUCGGUUUAUCCUGGCCUUUUUGUUUUCACUGUCAUAUUUGUGCAGGUGAGCUUGUGGCUUGCCAUUUUUCUCUUCCUGCAUUUUCGGUAGAAGAUCACCUUAAAGCUCACUGUCAAACCGAACGGCUACACCAAAAUCGCAGACGACCCCUUCACCUCUGCAAACCUCUAAGCAAGCCAAGAGGA